GCCUACAUGGCUCAGGUGGUAGAGUAUAAGACUCUUGAUUUCAAGGUCGUGAGUUCGAGCCCCAUGCUAGGCA